ACGACGAUCUCGUUGCUCGUCCGCGAGAAGUAGACGAUCGAGCGUCGAUCGGCGUUUGCGGCGUGCAACGAAGUCGGCGCGGCACCGCGGGCCCCUCCAUCUCCAGCGACGUCCGAUUCCUCGACCGUCGUUCACCCGGCUACGCAAACGCGUGUACGCAGCCACGCUUAAUGCAUUCAAAUGAUAUUCACUGUGGCGCGCUGACGCGAGUGCUUUCGACAAAUUAACGCCGCGUAUCGAGCGACUAUCUGUCGCUGGCGUGUUCACCGACCGUGCGGCAAAGUAGUCGCACCGGUGUCUUGCGCAUCGAAUGCGUAAUUGGGAGGACAGAUAAGAUCCGGCCCGAUUCCCGAAUCGGGCCCGUCCAUUUACCGUGGAAUCGCGCGCUGUCGAUCCAACGGCGUUCCGGCGCGAUUCGCCUAAGCGAUCGCGCGACGGUGCGAGAAACGUCUUUCCAAAGUAACGCGCAAUUCCCAAGGUUGCGGUCGGAGGCAGUGGAGAGACGCGGAAACUCGGUUCGGCGUUCGACGAGACGCAGCGCGCCAUCGAAGGGAAGACGAUCGGAUCGCGUCGGACGUGGCUCGGGUCGGGAAGGCCGAUGGGCGCGUCGUGGAAAAGGUAGCGCGGCUCGUUAAAACUUUCGGCGAAAGAAAAAUACGAUUGGAAGGAGUUUGACCGUUGAUCCGGAGUUUGGGACGAAAAGGAGGCCAAGAGGGAGAAGGUUUUGUCGCCAUCUCUCGGCGAUGUUAGGAGGCGCGGUAGCCAUUUUGUUUCUGGCGGUGGCCAGAAGGUCGCCGUGGUGUCGCGGCACACCCGCGCAUGUCCAUUGGUCCCUCCUACGUUGUCCUCGCGGCGGUGGCGGCAGCGAUCGCGGCGGUGGUGGCGGCGGCGGUGGCGGCGGUGGUGGCGACGGCGGCACACGGCGUUUCUCUGCUCGCUCUCGUCUCGCUCGAGCGACGGUGCCGCUUCCUCCGGUGCGCGCCCCUUCCCCGGCUUGCCGCCGUUCGCCUCUCUCCGCCGCUCACCCAGGCCCCCACCUUCUGGGCCCACCUUCCCUUUCGCGACCCUCGACGCCCCUCGCCGCCCCUCGCCGCCCCACGACGUCUCUUGCCACCGCACGUCCAAGCUCUGAAACCUCUGCUCCUCUGCACCGCCGCUUUCCUCCUCCGCGACGACCUCCGGCUCCCGCUGCUCCACCCGCCGCUCCUCCCGCCUCCGGCGUUUCUCUACCUCCAGCCACCGACGCUUCUCUCUUGCUCCUUCGCGAUCUCUCGUUCCUCGUCGCUCGUCGCGCGUCGUCUUCCUUCUCCGUCGACAGCCACGGGCCGGCGUCCGUGUCCACGAUAUUAUCACUCCGUUUUACUCGCGAUUUAUCGGCCUUUAUCAACUCCACCGGCGGCGAACGGUGUAUCGUCGUCGUCGUCGUCGUCGUCGUCGUCGUCGUCGUCGUCGUCGUCGUCGUCGUCGUGGAGAUGCUACAGCGAUCCGACAACGGCAGCCGCAACCGCGGCUACGGCCGAUUUCUCGAUUCCGAUGAAUCGAAGCGCGCGGGGCCUAACGCCGUCGCGUACCCUCGUAAAUCAGCGCGGGUGGCUUAUCGUCUCGUGCCGGCAGAUCGAGAAACACUCCGUGCCUUCUCGCUCGAUUCCUCGCGCAACCCCGACACGCCGACACCCGUUUCUCCCGGCACUUUGACUCGUUUCCGUCGUUUCCGCGGCAAUCCGCGUAUUCCUGUCACCGCCGCCACGUUCCCGUAAAUCAUUCGCCGCGCGGCGUGAGAACGACCACGAUCGCGCAACCACUUCGAAAACGUUCGAUCGAACGCCCCAUCGAACCGGACCCGGAUCACACCCGGAAUCGAUUUUCCCGAGCGGCGAAAAUUGCCGCGAGGCGGUCGAAAUUCCAGCCAUCGAUCGCCAUGGCCUUUAAGAGGGAAAGUUUUAACGGGAUACUCGUACGGGAACGGGCGUUUCGAGAACUCGAAAUAUGUAGUUGGUGCGCGCGGUCUGCCAAUCUCUAUUCAACGCGCGCCGCGUUGCUGUCAUAAAUUAGAGAGUCGAGUCACGCGCGGCGAACUGGUGUAUGGAGCGCGGAUAUUUACAAGUAUUUACAAACUGCGAUAUCUUCUGGUAUUACUGUCCAGCGGGAACGCUGGCUCACGAUAAUUUAAUAUUUUCCGAAUCGAUCCAGCGUCGCGUCGCCUCCGCCACCGCUGUCCCGCCAUUUGUUUCGCGAUAUCUUCGACCACGAGAGCCGCGAUACGCGCUGCUCCACGGGUAUCCGAAGAGGCAUCCGCGACUAAUUCGAUCGAACGAGAGCAAGCGGGAUCACGCGGCUAUCGUUUUCGAGCGUUGGUGCCGCCGCGGGUCGAGUCGAAGCAAGUUGGUCGGGUUAAUUUACGAUCGCGGCGGCCAUCAUCGUCCAAGGCCCGCUCGCGGAACUCGACUCCCACGUUCAUCCGCGAUCGAACGUCAGAUUGAACCGCGUAUUUCUCAGCGUGCACAUCCGUGCUAUCUGGCAUCUUAUCCGGCGUAUCGGCCGCGUCGACUACCGCGGCGACUAUACGCGAUGCUCGAUUCCGCCGCGUUUUAUUCCCACCGAUCGUUCACUCCACGCGAACCAGGCCGACGUUUCCUCCUGCGUCGGUCGCGGCACGCUAAUUUAACGAUCCUUUGAAAAUUCUCGAUCGAUGCGCGAGCCCCUCUACCGAGAGUGCUCGUCGCGGCCAAGUACCUGUUGAAAUAGGAAGACGCGCUCUUAAAGUCUAGACGCAAACGAGCGUAACCGUCGUCGACGUAGAUUACGGCUAACGAGCGUUUCCCCAUCCUUCUUUCGCUCUCGAUGAUUUCGAGUGGCCUUUGCCGAUCGCGAUACGCGUGCCGCAGAGGCCGCGGGGUGCUGUUCGAUCAUCGCCAAAAAUCGACGAAAUCUGAUCUGGCCGCGACUCUUCUUCUUUUCUCCGGCUGUUCCCGAGCGAACGAGCGAACGAGCGAACGAACGAGCGAGCGAACGUGCGAGAUGGUAUUCCAUUUCCCGUCGUCAUAGUCGUCGGUUUACAUCCUGUUGGUCGGUGGAGGGUGCGCGGUCGCUCGGCGAUGACGAUGGAACGCAGUCGGUGUGCGUCCGAAGCGUACGCGUAGUAGGUAGAGGUCAGUGGCGCGUGGUGGUAGUCGUAGUCGGGUGUACAGUGUAUAUAGAUCGGAGUCAGCGAUGCACGGUAGAGUGCUUUCGAGGCGAGUGCAGUAGAGACUCACGGUGUUGCACGGUCUGGUGAUUAGCGCCGCCCCCUGGGGACGGGAACCGCCAAUCGGUGGACGGCGUCGCGACGCCCGCCGUCGUCGCUUCACCGCGCGAACCCGUCGGGAGUCCCCCUGCAGGUCCGCACAAUCGCGGAUAUAACGGAUAGCGUGAGGCAAAGCCACGACAAAAAUCAAUCACCCGCUGCUUCCUCCUGUUCUCUCCACGCUCACCCCUUCUACCCUCCGCUUUCUCGCUCUUUUCCCCCUUUUCCCUCUUUAGCCCCCGCUUUCUCCCGGUCUCUCUACCUACCGCCGAGUCGUUUUCCUUCUUUUUCGCGAGCUCUUCUUCCUCCCUCUGGCUCUAACGAUAUCUCUCUCGCUCUGUCUUUUUGCCGCCAACGCUGCCUUCUUCGACCACUUUCUUCGAUGUCAUCCGGCAUCAUCCCUCCGUAAGGAGCGGGAGCUGCGUGGCAGGAAAUUUUCGUCGAACGCGGGUAACGCGUGUCGAUCGAGCGAAAUGCUCGUCGUCUUGCGAUCGCGGAGAUCGUCGUGUCUGGUACGCGCGCGAUCUUGGAACGACGAGGAGAGAAGGCGAGGGAAGGUCAGGAAGCCGAGACGAAGGCAGUAUCGCAACGCGCGCGCGUUGGUCGUGACCGAUUUUAAACGCGCGUCGUCUUCCCACGUUUUCACGUAUCCUGUUCACGCGCGCGUAUCGAUCUUGUCCGCGUCGAUCCACGUCCUCGUGGCUGAGACGCGUACGAGCGGGGCAAGGACAAGCGAGAUCUCGUCCGACCCAGCGGACUGACCGACGACCUACCUUGAAUUUCAUUCACACACACGCACACACAUGCGCGGUGAGGUCGCGUCGCGACGCUUACGCGGAAUACGAAACGACGUUCCCAUGGAUAGAUAGCGCGGGACCAACAGCGUCGUUCGAUCCGACCGAAAUAAAACGAUAGCGCGUAGCCUUUAUAGGACACACCGUAGCGAGCCGUAGGAAUACGCGCCCGUGUUCUACGACCGCCUUUCUCUCGCGGCCCCAUGCCGCACGUAUCGAGGGUUAACGAUCCCUGUUUCUAGGCACGAUGGUCGCACGACUAAUCGAAAAUGAAUUUUUUCACGAUUCUCCGUGGAUGCGCUCCGUGGGAGCAAACGGAGGGCUCCCGUUAUCGAGUACCCGCGGUUUUUCCAGAAGCCAGUCAAUUUCCUGCGAUCGUUGGCUCGUUCGUUUGGCGAAGUGUCGGGAGGCGUAGCGGAGAACGGUGCGUGCGGUGGCAGACACGGAACGGGACGCAUCGGGACGAUGAAGCCAGAGAGCGCGGAAAGUGCAGGCCGUGACUGAAAACAUCCCAUGGCGAUAAAGAUCUCCCGGCGAUUAAUUGGUACGACAGCGGCACACAUUGGCGGUGCGUUAACGGGUAUACGGCUGCCGUGCGGUAACCGGGAUAUCGUGCGCGAUAUCUCCUUAUGACGCCGGUCGACGACUUCCUUCGCCUCCUCGGUCUCUCCGCGCGACGUGACGCGACGUGGCGCGACGAAACCAACAGAAAAAAAUACAGAGAGAGAGAGAGAGAGGAGAAAACGGAGGGAAGAAGGCAAAGAGGUGGAGCGACGCGGGCGUCCUGGGAGCGCCGAUAAAGAAGGGAUCUCGAGGUUGUCGCGCUGCUUGCCCCGGAACUCUGGUUCCGGGAAAGGUCCGCGGGGAAGCCAGCUGCCGGAAGUUGCCAAGGCAAGGCGCUGCUUGCCGCCGCGAAAGCUCCGCCAGCCUGACCCGAAACGAACCGCAAGCACGUUGCAGGGAUCUACUUGCCCUUCGCGGGUUCGAAUCCCAGAUUUCACCCUAUCUCCGCUUCUCUCCUUCGCUCCAGGCAUCCCCGAAGCUCACGCUAGCGAUAACGUAGGAAUCUCGUAGACGUUCCUCUAUCCUGGAAUUUCUUAUCUUGGGGAUAGUAUCGGGGAGGAAAGAGCUUCGGAUAACUCGGACCUCUCCUUUUACUCUUCGAGCUUCGUCGAGUCGGCCGAUGCGAGAUCUCUGGUCGAUCCGCGAAAAACCGAAGUCGCUCGUAACGUUAGCACCUUUCGCGCGAUUUCGUCGGCGCCAACGUUAAACGAUUUUACAGAUCCGUAUCGGAUAAUCCAGGCCGAUCGGACUAAACGUAAAAGCGUGCAAGUCGAUCGGCAGUCGACGGUGUUUGGAAGCCGCGUCGCGUAGACGACGACGUUACACGCGCGCUUCUGCUCGGUCGCGGGACGCGAGAGCGUCUACGGGUUUCGUCGUUUGUCUUCCGGACGAUAAAACGCAGCUGCGACCGCCGACUCGGCUCCGCACGGCCCGGGGAUCUUUCCGAUUGCCGCGGUCUUCGAGGUCAGCCUCGUUGCCCGUGGCGCACGCCGAACAUCGUUGGUCCACCACCUGCUCCUUCUCGCAACCGUUUCACCUGCGCUCGCUACGCGGACGGUACCCUCUCCGACCGGGCAAACUUUUUUUUCGCGUGCACACGAGCGAACCGCCACUGCGCGCCUCGCGGUAGUAUCUCCGAUACUUCCGUUUCGUCGUGGAACGGUUCGCAACGGUGACGGCGGGAAAAGAAACGGCCCGUUUGCCGAUUUACGUCGCUCGACCUGUGCGCGUUUCACGACAAAGUCGCCUCGAUUUUACGAUUCGUCUUUAUAGCCGCGCGAUUUUACGAUCGCUCGGAGAAUUAGCGAUCCGAGUACCGUUCUCGAGGUAGGCGUCUCCCUUUCAUCGGCAACGCGUGUAAAAUAAAUCGUCCGGUUUAUCGCGAAUAAACGCCGGCAAGAGUUAAUAAACGGACGCGAGGACGAGCGAAACGAGAACACGGACAGUACCGUCGUUCGCAUCUUCGCAGGAUCGCUGACGAGAUCGUAGUAAGAGCAACGCACGGGGAACACCUUGCGCGACAGGUGCCAUCUCGUUCGCGAGUGUGUAGCGCGUGCAUGCUCGACGAAGGAGAGCCGGUGGCCAGGCUCUCUUUCGGUUUGGUUGCCGUGGCUGUGUCCGGUCCCGUCGGUAGACGGUAUCGCCGCUACUUAAAAAUAUGUUAGCGACCGGUAUAUAAGCACCGUGACCUCCGCGAUACGAUCUAAAGGGUCCCAACUCCGAGCCCGAUGGCACGCCGUGCGUCAGAUGCUUUUACGGGCCGACACCGAAGGGUGACACGAGCGGAGAACGACCGUGACUGUAACCGUCACGCGGUCCCCGGAAAAAUACCGGCACCGAAUAUCCCGCGGCCCUCGUCCAUCGAUAAGCCACCUCGAAGAGGGACCACCGCCCUGGCUCGCACGCGUGCACGGCCCUUCUUCCUCCAGUCCACCGAAAUGCCAAAGCCUUGGGAAUUUUGCCGAACUGUUCGUGCAACGGUGUCGGAGCGACGCGCGUCCAAGACGCGCAACGACAUUCGGUAGGACGAAGGUCGCAUCCCGCGACAUAGCCACUGGUCUAAUAAUUCAUUUUAUGGAAAUACGGUGGGAAAACGUGGACGAAGGCGCGGGGAUAUCAGUGGGAGGCGCGUGGCCUGGGACAGCAUAUUUUGCCAGAAAUUUAGCGUGGCCGAUUUCGAGCCAAUAAAUCAAACUGACCGACCGGUCGGGGAUGAGUCCAAGCGGAUCUCCAUAUCGAGAUUCUUUAGCAUAUAGAGUGCGGCGGCUUGCGUAACCCCUCGUACUUCGCGAGCCGGUCCACUCGAACGGAGGAGACUACGAGAGAGUGUGGCGCCCUUCUUUUCUCAUCUUCCAUCGGCUUCCAUCGUCUUCCGUCUUUCACCCCUGUUCCGCCAGCCGACGGUGGAUGGUCCACGAGGCAGCUCGUUGUUUUAUGAGCUGGCCCUGGCCGGGGGUUACCGCUCGAGGAGGCGGCGGCCGGUUGACUGAAUAAAAAUUACGGAAUAUGUUGCAUAUAAAGUAAGUGAAAAACAGACCGAGAUGAUGAAUUACCACGAGCCCGAGCGGGGGUGGCGAAGAUAACGGCCAACGCCAUCGAUCACUGGCCCUGGCCAGCAAUGACGCGACCUCUUUUCUCCUCCUUUCGAGCCACCGUAGACUAUCGUCGUCGUCGUGGUGGUCGUCGUCGUCGUGUUCGCCUUCUUCGCUGCUUCGCUCGUUCUCGAGCUUCUCGCCUGCGGAUCGACGACGAGUUUCCUCGAGCCCGAUAUGCGCUUCGGUAAGAGUUUCGCGAUACAGCGAUACGGCUACGAGCGAUCCCCCGUACACAGGAUACACCGUGAAAGGUGUGUAAAGCGAGUCUAAGCGCUGAGCAAAUCCAAACUCCAACGAGAGAAACAUCGGUGCGAGGAUAGGAAAGAAGAUGUUGGACGACGAACGAGCGGAAGGGAAAGGAAAAGGAGGGAAGACGAAACGGUGAAGUCGAGCGAAAACGGCGGAGGGCGAAAGGAGGAGGAGAAGGCGUGAGAGCGGAGCAAACAGGGAUAUAGGUAAGCAGGGGCGGAGAGACGCUUUCGAGGCUCGAGAGUAGCGCGAAAUCUGCAUUUCAGGCUUCCAUCCUCGCCGCGCUGCUGGCGUCUCCCGCGCGGCUUCCUGCAACCCGAGAGCUUUCCAACGGCUCGCAAACACUCCGAGUCGCGGUAAAGCUCCAAGUCUGUGUGCGUGUGCGACCAACGACAGCCGCCGCCAACCUCUCCACGCUCUCUCGCCAUCUCUUUGUCGUCACCCUACUUUUGCUUUCGCGCCUCUAUUUGUCUGGCGAGAAUCGAACCGCGAGUUUUCUAAGAACGCGCGUCAACGGUAACAUCGUCUUCUUCGCGCGCCUCGUCGACCAAACUCGAUCCUCUCGUGGCUGGAUUCUCGACCAGAGCGAAAGGAAACGAGGCACGCUCGUGGCCGAAACUUUGCGUUGCGGCGCGAUGAAAAAUCGCUUUCCUCGGUCGGGCCAGCCGGCCGGAAGAAGGGCGAGAAUAGCAUGGACGCAAGAAGAGGCGAAGGCGACGGGUAAUUAAUCCGCGGUUUUUCCUCGUCUAAUUAGUUGGAUUUAUUCCGUUGGUUCCCCUUAUCCAACGGGUCUGCUCCUCUCGACGCGGUCGUCAGUCUCCAGCCGGCGGCUCGACCGGUCGGUCUUUCGCUCGCACCGACUCGCAACUUGGACGGGCUGAUGUAUGGAAAUGUAUGCGGGGAGACGGAGGCUCGCAUUUUUCCAGCCACGCUGCCUUCAUUUCCACCCCACCGAUCCCCACCGAUCCCCGCCGUGCCUUCGCCCUCGUCGGUCGCUUCUCUGCCCUCCAACACCGUCACCACCACCGCCACCGCCACCACCGUCACCCCCUUUCUCCGAAGCUCGUCUCGCUUCUUUCUCGACUCGUGGCAGUCGUGUCAUCCCCCUUAAUCACGCGUCUACUCGUUAAAUUCGUGUCAGGCCGCGGUGUUUCUCGCGGCCGUUCUCGGAACGAGCUCGCGAGAUCCAACGUACUUAACAAGGGAUCCGCGUGCACGCGCCUCCGCACAGCUUUUCACUUUCCAUUCUUGGUCUCUCCUUCUCGUCAUCUUUCACCCGUGCCCGUCGCCGGCCUUUUUAUCGUCGUCCAACCCUCCCCUCCAAUGUCCGCUUAUAAGGUCGCGCGACUUGUCGACAAAUUCCCGCACCUUUCGUCGUUCGUCGUUCCCAUAAUCUACGGCCGAUCCGUAAGCUUCGCGGCUCAAACAGCUACGGAACGGUGUUUUUCGCUUUCGUCGGUUCCUCCCGUUGGCUGCGAGCUCGAGCGUCAGGGCUCUGCGACCAAUUUUCAACGCCGCCUUUACGUGACGCGUAUAAAUUCUUCCCUACGUUUAAUAUUUAUGCUCGCGGUGGACGCGCCGCGAUAUCGGCGCUGCGAAUUUUUGUGCUCGUUGUAAUAAUUAGCGGAGGUGAUGCAACAGCGAUCGUUGCUUUACAUCGUUACGUGACCAAAUUAAUUUUUCAUCCGAUCCCGUCGAGUUUUAAUUAAACGCCGCGUUUCGGAUAAACGCGGCAGGCGCGCGAGGCGCGAUGACGGGGCAUUUCGUUCGAAUAAUGAGCGCUCGAGUACGUUUCCCGCAGCGAUUUCGAUCGGGAGAGGGUGAAACGCGCGCAGGGACGCGUGACAAAACAUUAAUGUAAAUGACGCGGCCGUGCGUUUCACCGGGUCCAUUUUCUCACCCGUGGAAAUUACUUGCGUCGCAACGGAACACGCUCGAUAAGAAAAACUUUUAUCCGCCACGCAACUCGCCGUCGAAUCGUACGCCGAUACUUUCGACGGAUCAAGGCAGCAACUUUCGAUGAAAUUUCGUCGUCCGACAGCAUCGUGGGAAUCGGAGGAGUUGCAGCCACAGGAUCCCUUGGGCAAUGCUCCGAGUUCUCGACACACGAGAUGCGGAGACCGGAGAUCCCCGGCAAGAAAAACAGUCGCGAGUGCGCGAGUUACAGAGCAACGAUCAGCGGAGCGGCAACACAAAAGAAUCGCUCGGCCAUGUUAGCGUCUGCUCUUUUCCACGACCAACGCAUGGUUUUUCGAUCGACGGUGCGAAAGAAACGCGCGUUCGACCAAAGAACGAGCGAGCGCGUUCGUCGAUGUAGCGAACAAAACGAAUCUCGUCGAGUAAAAAAAUCGUAACCGUUUCGUUGCGGAAGAAUAUCGGAGUAAUAGAUAAAACACGAUAAGUGCAUACCGCAUGAAUUAUGCAUCGCCUCGGUAUACGCGAUAAUUGCCGCGCUUCAUUAAAACCAGAUCGCUCAUUGUCAAGGCAAGAACGCGCGGUUUACGAAGCCAUAAACUCGUCACGAGCAACGAUCGAUAUCGUUAGCGAGAAUCAGGAUCGCCGAUGGCCAACAACCACCGCGUCGUGAUCGUGCUCGGUCGAAUCUCUCGCGCGAUUGUCGACCGUAUUUUCCACGAAACUACGAUCAGAGGGCAGCUAUAAGCCCGAAUCCGAGCGGUUCCCUACUCUUAUCGAGAAUUAAACGUUCGCUGGAAUCGCUAACGGUUCGUUCGAACGCACGUUCGCGAUCGGCAACGGACACUUGGACACGGGCGAAAAACCGCAGAUGCGCUGCGAGACAGAAAUGGCUAGCGGGAGGAGGAGAAGGAACUGGGGGAGGAGCAGCAGCAGCAGCAGCAGCAACAGAAAGACAAGGAAUAAAGAGGACGGACGAGGAGAGGCAGCAACUCGCGAGUCGCGAAGGACAAGGAUCGUUGACGGUGAUCGUAAAGACUCGGCAUUAUAGUCGGUCGUAAGCCUUCGCCGCAUUGUACGGAUCGUGUGCACGCGCGCCACACCACCGGAGCCAUUCUCCAUAACGGACGAGCACACAGGAAGCACGCGAAUUCUGCAGGAUGCCCCAGGAAAGGCAAUCGAAUCGAUCUUUCUGACGUUUCACCCCCCGCCGUUUCAGUUCCAACGGAGCUAUUUAUCGCGGAAAAAUAAGGAAAGAAGGAUAUACGCGUUUUCGAUCGAUGCUCGCCACUGCUACCGCCGUCGCAGCAACAGCAGCAGCAGCAGCAGCCGCCGCCGCCGCCGCCAUGUACUUGAUAAAAUAAAAAGGAACGUCGAUCGCGAUUUCACGCAACAAAAGCAACGGAUAUUUUCCCGGGAAGAGAACGUUCUCGAGCCGAGGUUGGCUCGUAAUUUUGUCGGAAUGCGUGUCGCGUAUAACGCGGCAGCUACAAAUCGCGGCGGCGCAACGCCGGCCAAGCGAAUCACGGAAAAUCGCAAGCGAAAGGAAAGCUGACAUUCGCACCGUUUCAAUUUAUCUCUGGUUUUUAACGUUUCAAUUUAAUUGACGGCACUCGAACGACAAAGAGAGGCUCGAGAGAGGCAGAGUAGGAAGAGACGACCCGAUUAAUUCCUUUGUCGCCUAUCUGCCGGUGGAAUAACAAACCUCUUCGGCGGACGGGAGUCGAGAGGAUACAAGUACGAUAAAAUCACGAGGGUCCACGGGACGGUGGAUAAAAAGACUGUAAAGUGAGAGGGGGUUCGGGGGACGAGAGAGAAUAGGGGGUUUUUCUGAGGGUAGGAGAGGUCUGGAAAGGGUGGAGAGGAGACUCUGUGGACCUCCAAGUCCUCCCUUCAUUUUCCAGGAUCGGCCGCGCUCGUGAGCAGAGGGAGGAAUAGCAAUUAAAAGUAUCUGGCACAAUCUUCGUUAAACUUCUUCCUCGUUCUUCGUCGUCGGAGGGAAGGCAUUAUUAAAACGUGCCGUCGGCUGCAACCACCGUACCCCCUGCUCUCUCCCAGAUUUUCCCCCCAUCCCUCGGUAUCUACCCGGCUCUUCAGCCUCCCGCCGCGCUGUCGCGAGGACCAUUCUACGUUUUCAACUCUUUUGCAUAGAAAAUACCGCCACUCCGCCGAAUCCGCAGUUGUAAGUAUCGCUGUUCAAAGAUUCUGACAUCUUCUUCGGCAGCAUGGAAUUUCGUCCCUUUUCCGUUUUUCCCUCCUUCCUCCUUCCACCUUUUCCGUUUCGUUCGUUUCCUCUUGCAUCGAUGUUCUCCUCUUUACAUAUAAAUUUUUCAUAGAUUCUCGCCGACCAACUCGAAGAUCAUAUCGCGACCAUUGCCGAGUAAUUUAAGCCGCCGUAACGUGCCGCAUUCUUUUGAAACGUGGUUGGCGCUUUGCUAGGGCGAUCGCACGAGAGACACGUUGCUUCGAGAGAAAUUUAAAUCGUCCUAGUAAUUAUCGCAUCAACCGUAUCAAAUUAACGAUCGAAGGAACAAAAGUGCCUAAUAGCGUUGUUGAGACAGAGAUCUCGAUUAUACCGUUGGCUUUCGUGGAAAAUGGAAGGUGCGAGAGCGUACGAUUCCUCGAGGGCGAAACGUCACGACGGAAGCCUCGGUUUAUCGAGAAUUUUGAGAAUGGUAAUGCGGAAGCCCGGGAAGAGACAGAGGGAGAAAAGGAAGACGUCGAGCGGGAUGCGGCGAAGCCGAGAGGUCCCUGCAAGGUAAGAAAGGGAGAAUAAGUUCUCAGGGUCUCUCCGAGUAAUCCUGCUGCCGGCACGGAGGUCGAGGAAUAUAGGAUGAAAAUACCUGGAGUUAGAGAGGUCUUACUUGUCUCACACCCUCUUUCCACCUCUUCUCCGUGGUCUGGCUUCUCGCAUCGCUAGACCGUCGCCCCAAAUAAGACACAAGUCGUCAUAUAAUUCCACGACUAAUGCUCGUCCCUAUUAAACCCUAACGACGUUAACGUCCCGAUUAUUAUUCCUUUGUACGAGAAGUCGACGAGAAAUCGAUGAUACAAGAUCGUUUAUCGAGUGUUUCUACUUGUCGUUACAACCGUAACGCCGUGGCGUCGAGGAUUAAAUUCUUAAGUUUGGUCGGCCACCAGAUGACGAUCGUGUGCCGUGUUUCCUGUUUAAAUAGUCUGCGGGACGAACGCUCCAGUGUCGAUUGCCGCCGAGUUGAUCGACGAUUUUGCAAGAGUGUCUGUUCGAAAUUACCGGAUCCCGUGGGGACGAUCGUGCGAAACUUUCAUACCAACGACAUCACGAGCGACAACGUUGCUCGAACAUCACCGGAGAGGACAUUAUGUCACAGUUGCUGAGAACGGCUCUCACGUUUACGAUUGGCAAUAGUGAGAAAGCUACCCACAAUAUCGCUCGAUUAUUCCGUUAGACUGUUGGAAACUUACCUUGAAACGUGAGAACUUUUCUACGGUAAAGAUUUUUAAUGCUUCGUCGGCCGUUACGAAGAUACCUCCGCGUACCGCGAAAUAAUGCGAUGAAAAAUCAAUUUUACGCCGCUCAAGUUACCACGCACGGAAGUGUUAUUAAAAAAACUAUAUUAGAUCGUUCGAUUUCACUCCACUAUUGUUUCCACAACGAAGGAAAAGAUCGUUCCAGAUUGUAUUUCGUUCUACAACUACAUUUUUCUUUUUUCUUUUUUUUUUCAUGUUUCAUCGAUGAUAUUUGCCAAAACGAGGCUCGGAAACGUUCGUUGCGAGUAUUCCCGGGUAAAAAUAAAUUAAUUAACAACUAACGAGCAUGCGAUCGUAUAGCUCGGUAACACCCACUUGGCUGAAACACAUCGUUGGGAACUCGAGAUGAAGAAAAGCAAAUACCUUCGAGGGGGUGGCUGCUGCUAGCUCAGCCGAAGGGAAUGGGUAGCGGAAGAACGAGAAAGAAUUCCGUCACGAUCUCGUCUGCGCUUGCUUUGUCCCCUGCUUUGAUUUCUUCUCUUCGGUACUCGACGAGCGAGAGAGCGAAAUGCCGAGGGAAUGCGAGAGGGUAGGAGACACGAAACGGAGAGGCACAGACAUCGAGAGAGAAAGAGGCUUUAGCUGGUUCGGUACCGGGAGAGUGAACGAUAUUUACAUGCGAUUUGCAUACUAGUUGAUCCCUAUUGCUUCCAUCUCCAACGAGCCAGCAGGGGCGGCGGACCUACACCCGAACCCUCCGUCAUGCCGCGUUCUGCUUCUCUUCCUCUUCCUCUUCCACUUCCUCUUCCUCUUCCUCUCGUUUCACGAUUCCACGAGUUUUCAUCUCUAUCUGUGCUCCUCUUGCCACGAGUAUCUCCGUGGAGAACCGAGACUUCGCACGUUCUCGUCGAACCGCGUAAGCGAAACCCUUAACGCUAAAGCGAACCGGAGCGGGACGUACCACGUUCCUCGAAUCCUUUCUGCCUCGUUAUCAUCCUACGCUUUAACGAACUGUCCUCCUUCUCUUUCAACAUCCUUCUCCUUUUGUCCCCUUUCGCUUGGUUUUGUCGCUUCUCGCGCGGUUCGCUUGCUCGUAAACGGUUGUAAAAAUUCACGCGUACGAUUCGGCAAUACGAGAACGAGAUAAAGGAAGGCGAUAGAAAGGGAUCGAUUCGGUGGCGAGAAGAGGACGAGCUAGCUGGAUGUUUCCAGAUUUUGCUUAGGGUUCGGCUGGAUUAAAGGAAGUUGGCAGAGAGACGUAAUCAGGUCAUAUAAAUGUGGCUGGCUAAUUGCAGAUAGUCGGUUUCACGGGAAUACGCGUUAAGAAACCCGCAGAAAGGUAAGACCACGACGGUGUUCUUACGUCUUCUGACGGACGAAGAAGAAAGGAAGGGACUCGGUGCUUUCCUAUCUCGCUAGCAAAUGGGGAAGCCAAAUUAGCCGGGAUAAUCAAGUCGGUCGAGAAAGAUGGAAGGAGGGUAAAGUUACCACGGCGACUAAAGGUUGUUUCUUCAACGACGUAAAAUUGGCCAGGUUCUCGCGGAAAUCACACGGAAUACACGAGUUCCCGUGGUAUUAGUUUCGUCGGUGAUUUUCUCUGGAAGCAGGAUUCCGUCUUGAAACGAAGCUGGACAAUUUUUCGAGAAGCUUAAUUAAACGGCGUGACGAAGAGAGCAAAGUUUCGCGUAUCGAGGAUCGUUCUAAACACGAUUCUGUCCGUUCGGUAUCCCAUUUUUCGUCGAGGGGUUAAAAGGGAGAACAAGCAUGGGAUAGGGGGAGGGGCGGGUAGGGGAGCGAGGGGUAGCGGAGAAGGAACGAGGGAUGAGAAUUUUUUAAGAAAGCCGAGCACGGGUCCAUCCAAGAACGGAGAAGCAACCGAUUGAUAUCUGAGCAUGUUGCCACGUGAGCUCCCGAAGCACGGCGUCUAAUUAACUCCGUGACUGGCUGACCCUAGGUGACCCUGGACUCGUUGCAUGCUUCGAUGGCGCCUGUGUGCAUGCACAUACACGCGUCCAUCUACGUGCACACGUGUUGCAUCGGCUCGCACACCUAACGGACCGCUAUUCCGUCGUAGAUAGAGACAUCAUCGUGCCACCGACCAGCUCUACACCUUAACCUUAUACGGUGCUGAGCCACGGAGGAAGAGAAGACCCUUUCCUCGAUCGCGUCUCUGCACGAACAGGCCGAUGCACGAACUCUUCGAAGCAGAUGUUGCAUCGGAAGGAGAAGAGGACCGCGCCAGAUAUCCGUGAAAACUUAUUGUCUCGUUCGAUUCUCGGACACGGCUCUCGGCCGGCCGCCGAACGAUGAAACCGUUAAUUCUUGGUCGUCGUUCGCCGAUUUAUCGCGGCGAACAAAGUCGAGCAAUCGAGGCGAGAUCGUGCAGACCCGGUUUUUCACACGGCCUCGUGUAAAACGUGCCACCAUGCCACGUCGAAGAGAUAGACGUACCGCUCGCGAUGCCCCCGGUGUUUCGUUAAUUAAAACGAACGAACGAACGAACUGGUUAAUUUUAUGCGAGUGGCGAAUCGGGCCGGCGUGCAUGGCUUUCCCAUUACCGCGCCCACCUCCCUCCUGCGUCGAUUGGUCAUUGGUGUCACAAACGAUCAUGCUCUGCUCCUCUGCCACCGCCAUCGCUGAAUAUUGACGUUGCUCCCUCCUCCCCUGUGUAAACCCCGAUGCGUUAUCGCUCGCUAAAAUAUAUUUUAAACACGUAGCAGCAUCGUUCGUAGCCGUCUUGCGGAAUACUUUUUGCAAAAUAAAUAUCUCACGAAAGCAAAUACUUAUAUUCUGCAAGGCUUAUCUACCGAGCGUAGCUUCUACCGCGAUAGAAGCACAACGACCAGACACUGAUUCAUUUUACUUAAGCCGAGAAAACGCGGCCAAAGCGGCGUUUAAUGUGCCCAGAAACAGUGAUACAGUGUUUAUUGCCGACAGACGCCUGGAAUUUUGAACAGGCUCGACGACACUCGGAAUACGCCGUUUUAUUUCAUAGCCACCCCCGCUGCGCGCGUAAUGGCGAAUAAAUUUUAAUGAACGUCAAAAAAAUAAACAGCCGGUUUCACUUAAACGGAGGUAAAUUUGACCAGUCGUUGUCGAGCCGGCGAUUACUUCCCGCUACUCUUAAAACCACAUCGAUCGUCCAACUUGUAAAAAUAAGUUGCUUCGGCGAUAUGGCGGGACGAAACGGCAAGGAAAAAAAGAGGAAAAUGGGGGCUCUUCGCUUUGGCGUAAAAUUUGAAUCGAGCCAGGGAAAUGUUUGCCGGUUCUCGGAAUGGCGCGCAGCGUCACUCGUAUUUUUCGGAGGAAUAAAAAUUUUGUUAGCCGCUAGACCGAGCGAUUUCAAAAUUCCGAUCGGCCGCGAUGAGGGAUCGCGGUCCGGAGGGAGCAGGGAGGAUCCACUGUGGAAAACAGGGUGUGGCGCGUGAGAGCUGGCUCACCUGAAACAACACAACGUUUUCAGAUCGCUGAUCCCAUAAGCGUCCACGUUUGAUCCCUCCGUUGUUUUGCGAACGCGUCCGCCUGUCUGCCGGGUUAAUUCGCGAAAAACUAGAAUCGCGUUCUUCGACUCAAGCAGAAACGCGUUACGGGUUUUAUGCCGCGUUACGAAUUCGACGGUUCUCCGCCUCUUUCGAAACAACGAUACCGAUUAUCUCGCGGAGAUCUCGAUGACCCUUUUAAAAACUCUGUUUUCUCCAGUCAAUCAGAGUGAUUUCCUGUGAAAGGCGACGCAGUUAUCUUUUUCAAUUGCGCUUUCCAGCUGGUGGCCGAACAGAAUUUUUUUAUCGAGGGGUGAAAAGAAAGGCGACGGGGAUGGGGUGAGACUCGUCAAGCGAUGUAGAAUAGUAGAGAUAUAUCGUGGCGUAAUAUGCAAAGCGGAUCGGAUGUACCCGGCGGGGGGUGAAAGCGGUAGCCAAGGGGUGAUUAGCGGGACAAAAGCUGGCGCCGCUACAAGUGGAACCAAAUUGGUAGAAAAUUGAUAAUCAACCGCCAAUAUCAACCUCCAUUGGGAACCGCGUGGCUCGUUAUGCUCGAGAAGAGGGCAAAGGAUUACACAGAAACACGCGCGAAAUAUUUGUUUCUCGGAUAUAAAGGCUAGCCGCAAGACGAUACGUGCUAUAAAAUCGUGCAUCUCUUGGAAAUUAACGCGUACUAUGUCGAACGCGCGUCGACGACGAGACGAGCCAAGAUACAGGAACGGAGAGCGGCAGCGAAGGAAGAAACGAAUGCCAAAGAAAAGGGAUGAAACGCACGACGUACGAAGAGUAUUCACUAAAGAGUCAAGAUCAAGUUGGCUCCUGUGAAUGGAACACGUGUACCGUGUCACAUCUAUCUGAAAAGUUCAUCGUUUCGGAGAUCUCGUAAAAAAGUUUCCUAGAAUGCGAGCUAUCUUCGAGGCCAUGGUGGCGAGUGUGUAAUCGAAGGAAUUGUAGAACACUUUUCUCAUGCAAAUACACUCGAUGCCGAGACCCGGAGAAGGGACAACGAACUUCUUUGGGCUGCUUAAAACUUCGAACUUAGGUCCUUUUAAAUUUAAAUGCUCUCCCCGGUCGAACAGCCGUCGUGCGUUCUUCUCUCGUACGGCUUCUCGCGCCGGUGUCGUAUAGAUGGUAAUAAAAAAGAAAAGAAAAAAAGGAAAAUACGCCAAAGCGUACGAACCGUGCGAUGGAUCGCGACGCCGGGAUAAAAAAAAAAAUGUCAUCGAUAUCUCCUCUUUACGCAUGGAAUAGCAUUCGCUGUACGUUCGCGAAAUUGUAUCGCGGCUACUUUAACGCAUAUUUCAAUGCGAAAGCAAAAAUAGUUUUCAGAGAGAUGGCAAAAAUUCGACCUGUCCCGGAACAACAUUUUCGAGCAAUUCUAGCGCGUUCGGUCAUUGUUUACCUGGAAAUUUUACAACCUUCAUAAAAGAUCGUACGCGUAUUCGCGUUGCAGUAAUUAUCGAAACGAAUAAAAUUGUCGGCCUGUAUGUAAUAAUAAGCAGACAGGCGAAUAUAAACGUAAUAAUCGCGAAAACGUGCGUUCGAAUCGUAGUAACACGAACGUAUCAAAAAUUAUUAUUUGCCGCUCGACGUCCAAUGACCAGAAAAAUAUUUGCCUAAAGCGCGCGCACGCCGUUGAUGUGCCUCGAUACGGAUCGCAUUUGAAAUUCGAAUUAUUAUAAUUACGGUGUGCGAUUAAAAAUGAGAAGACAGGAGGGAGGGAUAAAGGGAUGCGUAACCUCCGCUGUUCAAUGAUAUAAUUACAAAGAGUUACAUGGUAGAAUGCGUCUACGAGCUGCGCUUAUUAAACCGAAAAUUUCAUGCGCAUUAAAUUAAGAAUAGAUUGUAUGCAUUAUCAUCGUGUGUAUCCCACAGAUAUUUUUCCCUGGUGAAUAAAAAAUAAUAAAGAAACGAAUGUAAUGAAUAAA